AUGGCCUGCUAGGUAGGACAGCCACCUCCUCUCCCCCAGCGUCCAUGGCCUGCUAGGUAGGACAGCCACCUCCUCUCCCCCAGCGUCCAUGGCCUGCUAGGUAGGGAAGCCACCUCCUCUCCCCCAGCGUCCAUGGCCUGCUAGGUAGGGAAGCCACCUCUCCCCCAGCGUCCAUGGCCUGCUAGGUAGGGAAGCCACCUCUCCCCCAGCGUCCAUGGCCUGCUAGGUAGGACAGCCACCUCCUCUCCCCCAGCGUCCAUGGCCUGCUAGGUAGGACAGCCACCUCCUCUCCCCCAGCGUCCAUAGCCUGCUAGGUAGGACAGCCACCUCCUCUCCCCCAGCGUCCAUGGCCUGCUAGGUAGGAAAGCCACCUCCUCUCCCCCAGCGUCCAUGGCCUGCUAGGUAGGGAAGCCACCUCUCCCCCAGUGUCCAUGGCCUGCUAGGUAGGGAAGCCACCUCUCCCCCAGCGUCCAUGGCCUGCUAGGUAGGGAAGCCACCUCUCCCCCAGCGUCCAUGGCCUGCUAGGUAGGGAAGCCACCUCCUCUCCCCCAGCGUCCAUGGCCUGCUAGGUAGGAAAGCCACCUCCUCUCCCCCAGCGUCCAUGGCCUGCUAGGUAGGGAAGCCACCUCUCCCCCAGUGUCCAUGGCCUGCUAGGUAGGGAAGCCACCUCUCCCCCAGCGUCCAUGGCCUGCUAGGUAGGGAAGCCACCUCUCCCCCAGCGUCC